rnacentral:rRNA from 1 species
UACGUAGGGUGCAAGCGUUAAUCGGAAUUACUGGGCGUAAAGCGUGCGCAGGCGGUUUUGUAAGUCUGUCGUGAAAUCCCCGGGCUCAACCUGGGAAUUGCGAUGGAGACUGCAAGGCUAGAAUCUGGCAGAGGGGGGUAGAAUUCCACGUGUAGCAGUGAAAUGCGUAGAGAUGUGGAGGAACACCGAUGGCGAAGGCAGCCCCCUGGGAUAGAACUGACGCUCAGGCACGAAAGCGUGGGUAGCAAACAGG